rnacentral:misc_RNA from 1 species
UUUCCGUAGGUGAACCUGCGGAAGGAUCAUUGUCGUAUCCUGGAAACAGAACGACCCGAGAACGUUGAAACAUCACUCUCGGUGGGCUGGGUUCUCUUACCGGAAUCCAUGCCUUCCGAUUCCGUGGUUAUGUGUUUCGUCCCCGGUCAAGGCUGGGUCGUGCACAUAGCUUCCGGAUAUCACCAAACCCCGGCACGAAAAGUGUCAAGGAACAUGCAACUAAACAGUAUGCUUUCGCCAACCCGGAAACGGUGUUUGUUCGAAAGCAGUUCUGAAAUGUAAAGUCUAUAACGACUCUCGGCAACGGAUAUCUCGGCUCUC